rnacentral:rRNA from 1 species
GAAUUCGCCCUUAGAGUUUGAUCCUGGCUCAGGACGAACGCUGGCGGCGUGCUUAACACAUGCAAGUCGAACGGAGUUGCAGGAGAGCUUGCUCGAAUGUAACUUAGUGGCGAACGGGUGAGUAACGCGUGAGCAAUCUGUCUCAUACAGGGGGAUAACACUUGGAAACAGGUGCUAAUACCGCAUAAGACCACAGUGCCGCAUGACACAGGGGUCAAAGAUUUAUCGGUAUGAGGUGAGCUCGCGUCUGAUUAGAUAGUUGGUGAGGUAACGGCUCACCAAGUCGACGAUCAGUAGCCGACCUGAGAGGGUGAUCGGCCACAUUGGAACUGAGAUACGGUCCAAACUCCUACGGGAGGCAGCAGUGGGGAAUAUUGGGCAAUGGGCGCAAGCCUGACCCAGCAACGCCGCGUGAAGGAAGAAGGUUUUCGGAUUGUAAACUUCUGUCCUUGAUGAAAAGCAGUAGAUGGUAAUCAAGGAGGAAGCCCCGGCUAACUACGUGCCAGCAGCCGCGGUAAUACGUAGGGGGCAAGCGUUGUCCGGAAUGAUUGGGCGUAAAGGGCGCGUAGGCGGCCCGUUAAGUCUGGAGUGAAAGUCCUGCUUUUAAGGUGGGAAUUGCUUUGGAUACUGAUGGGCUUGAGUGCAGGAGAGGUUAUCGGAAUUCCCGGUGUAGCGGUGAAAUGCGUAGAGAUCGGGAGGAACACCAGUGGCGAAGGCGGGUAACUGGACUGCAACUGACGCUGAGGCGCGAAAGUGUGGGGAGCAAACAGGAUUAGAUACCCUGGUAGUCCACACUGUAAACGAUGAAUGCUAGGUGUAGGAGGUAUCGACCCCUUCUGUGCCGGAGUUAACACAAUAAGCAUUCCGCCUGGGGAGUACGGCCGCAAGGUUGAAACUCAAAGGAAUUGACGGGGGCCCGCACAAGCAGCGGAGCAUGUGGUUUAAUUCGACGCAACGCGAAGAACCUUACCAGGUCUUGACAUCCAGUAAAAGCCGUAGAGAUACGGUGUGAGCUUGCUCAUACUGAGACAGGUGGUGCAUGGUUGUCGUCAGCUCGUGUCGUGAGAUGUUGGGUUAAGUCCCGCAACGAGCGCAACCCUUAUUCUUAGUUGCCAUCAUUCAGUUGGGCACUCUAAGGAGACUGCCGGUGAUAAACCGGAGGAAGGUGGGGAUGACGUCAAAUCAUCAUGCCCCUUAUGACCUGGGCUACACACGUGCUACAAUGGACGGUACAAACGGUUGCCAACCCGCGAGGGGGAGCUAAUCCGAUAAAACCGUUCUCAGUUCGGAUUGUAGGCUGCAACUCGCCUACAUGAAGCCGGAAUCGCUAGUAAUCGCGGAUCAGCAUGCCGCGGUGAAUACGUUCCCGGGCCUUGCACUCACCGCCCGUCA